rnacentral:lncRNA from 1 species
GGUUAAUCUGGAUGCGUCGCUGCCACUGGCAACCUGACCUCUGGAUUGUUUUGGGCUUGUUGGAAAAUGAGAGCCCGAGGCUCAGCAUCGACCUGCGGAAGAAGCUCUGUCCUGAUGGCCGUGGAUGUGGGAAAAUCACCUUCUGAAGAGUCACUGAGCGGGAAGGCCGAGGGCAAUGGCAGGUGGGACGGCGCAGACACGGAGAUGGACAUCCUGGAGCUGGCAGGGAGCCUCCACCAGCUUCUAGGGACAGAGGAAGCCAAGCCCAGCCUGCAAGGCGCAGAAAGCAUGGCAGUGAGCAGGCACAGUCACAUGGCCACUGGUGUUACCCAGGGAGGCUCAAGCUGCCACCCAAAAGUGUCUUCAGCAUUUGUGCCCAGAUUUUCCAGAGCAAGCGCAAACUCCUCAGGGAAAGGGGUGUUAGUGGACAGAGCUGCUGAUGGUGGCCCUGUGCCUCGACGAGUUGGCCACUGGUUCCUCUCUUCAGAAGAAGAGCAGGUGAAGGCAUCGGGCUCUUGGGACCCGGUGUCCAGCCCUCCCAGCCGGCGCAGCUCUGCCGAGGAGAACGUCCUUGCUGGCAGCCGCCACGAUGCCCAUGUUGGCCGUCGGAGACAAAGUCUGGGAGCUCAAUCCCCGAGUCCUUCCACCCCGGAGCUCCUGCGGCCCCAAAC